rnacentral:lncRNA from 1 species
GAUAACCGAAAGUAAAAAUAACCCCAUUACACGCCUGAGGAGGAUGUGGAGAAGAAAGAAACCCCUCGGAAGGGAGAAGAUGAAAGACAGAAACCGAAAGGCGAGAGAGAGGCAGUGAGAGGAGGGGGAAAAAGAAAAGACGAAAAGGCAUCUUUUUGAAACUGGAAUUAAACAUGAGGAUCAAGCGUGGGUCCUGUUUUUAAGGCAAUACUCUGCUCAAGCCAUCUGUGGACCUGGGGAAGCUCAUCUGGAAUUCCCUGGUGACCAGAGGCUGGCUUACAGACUGGAGAAACCGAGGCUACAAAUGGACAUCGUAUCUGUCCUGGGCCAAAAUGUAGUCAUUCAGGCAUCUGCGUCCACUGUCCCAGGACAAGAAAUAAAACAGUUCACAGGGUGAAGGAUAUAAGGUGGAAAGAAAGAAAGAGAGAGAGAAAAAAAAAGAAGGAAGAAGCCAACUCCUAAACCCCUGGAAAUCUGUGUUAAUUGCUUAUGAAUGUCUCUGUCUAAAAAAAAUUAUCGAAUUGAUGUCGUCGUGGGUUUUUUGACAGCCUGUCUGUUACAUUUUUUUAAAUAUUCAUGCACCAAAAUCUAAUUACUAGGCAAAUUUAAUGAUAAUGAAAUGAAGGCACUUUAGCGGAAAGCACAGGGCCCCCGUUAAUGUUUUCUCAGCCUCUGUCUUGUUCGUAAUUUUUUUUUUUUAUGACUGCCUUUCUUGCAUUUAAAAAAAAAAAAGGAUUGCCGAAAAUAAAAC